GGAGAGAUGGCCGAGUCGGCUGAAGGCGCUCGCCUGCUAAGCGAGUGUACAGUUGAAAGCUGUACCGUGGGUUCGAAUCCCACUCUCUCCGCCA
rnacentral:tRNA from 1 species